AACGCUAGCUACAGGCUUAACACAUGCAAGUCGAGGGGCAGCGGGAUUGAAGCUUGCUUCAAUCGCCGGCGACCGGCGCACGGGUGAGUAACGCGUAUCCAACCUUCCGUACACUCAGGGAUAGCCUUUCGAAAGAAAGAUUAAUACCUGAUGGUAUGAUGAGAUUGCAUGAUAUCAUCAUUAAAGAUUUAUCGGUGUACGAUGGGGAUGCGUUCCAUUAGGUAGUAGGCGGGGUAACGGCCCACCUAGCCGACGAUGGAUAGGGGUUCUGAGAGGAAGGUCCCCCACAUUGGAACUGAGACACGGUCCAAACUCCUACGGGAGGCAGCAGUGAGGAAUAUUGGUCAAUGGACGAGAGUCUGAACCAGCCAAGUAGCGUGAAGGAUGAAGGUCCUACGGAUUGUAAACUUCUUUUAUAAGGGAAUAAAACCUCCCACGUGUGGGAGCUUGUAUGUACCUUAUGAAUAAGCAUCGGCUAACUCCGUGCCAGCAGCCGCGGUAAUACGGAGGAUGCGAGCGUUAUCCGGAUUUAUUGGGUUUAAAGGGAGCGCAGACGGGUCGUUAAGUCAGCUGUGAAAGUUUGGGGCUCAACCUUAAAAUUGCAGUUGAUACUGGCGUCCUUGAGUGCGGUUGAGGUGUGCGGAAUUCGUGGUGUAGCGGUGAAAUGCUUAGAUAUCACGAAGAACUCCGAUUG
rnacentral:rRNA from 1 species